rnacentral:sRNA from 1 species
GGGAUGGAGCUGCCAGGGACAUGGCCCCUCCCACCACAAGUGGCCAAGGGCAUGUUGUGGUCGGGAAGCUUCACCGGUCGACCCCGGCCACCUCACCUCUGCCUGCCACUCGGGGUCCUGGGCCCUGCUGCCCGCCGAGUGCAGCUGCAACGCCCCUUUUGCCUAAAGCAGCAGGCCCUGCCGACAGGGACCUGAGCAUCUUUUUCUUCCUUCCUUGGCCUCUGAGGUCCUGAGAGGGAGCUCCCCAACUCUCCCGCCCCAGUCAGCGGUCACAGGGGAGUCUCUGGGCCCACAGCAGGGCUGGCCUGGUAGCUGAGACCCUGGUGGCUCCUGGCCACGCUCAGGAAGGCCCGUGUGGUCAGGGCUGCAUUUGAGCCAGACCCACACUGGGGAUCUGCCGAGGGCUGGGUGCUGAUGUCCCCGCCCCGCGCCCCCCGUCGAUGUCUCUUGCCAGGCGCGACUCUUCGAUGAGCCACAGCUGGCCAGCCUGUGCCUGGAGAACAUCGACAAAAACACUGCAGACGCCAUCACCGCGGAGGGCUUCACCGACAUUGACCUGGACACGCUGGUGGCUGUCCUGGAGCGUGACACACUGGGCAUCCGUGAGGUGCGGCUGUUCAACGCCGUUGUCCGCUGGUCCGAGGCCGAGUGUCAGCGGCAGCAGCUGCAGGUGACGCCGGAGAACAGGCGGAAGGUUCUGGGCAAGGCCCUGGGCCUCAUUCGCUUCCCGCUCAUGACCAUCGAGGAGUUCGCCGCAGGUAACAGAGCUCGGGCCCAGGGGCUGGUUUGGGAGGGGAGUGGCACACAGGUGGGCAUCUGGGUACCGAGGAUAGUGCCAAGUUCACUGCGGAAAGCCUGGCAGAUGCCUGGAGUAUACAGAUGGGAAGAAACCUGGCUUGUGAGGACGCGUCCACGGGGCCAUCUGUUAGCCCCGGCCCGGCUCUGUCCCCACCGUGCGCAUUGCCAGACCCCGCCUCUCGUGUCUGUCCAGCUGUUUUGGUGGCAUCUUCCCAGGAGGGAAGGGAGUCCCCAUCUCGGGCCCUUGUGCUACCUGCUGGUGCAGGUACCG